rnacentral:rRNA from 1 species
CGCGUAGGCGGUUAUGUAAGUCAGAUGUGAAAUACUCCGGCUCAACCAGAGAACUGCAUCUGAAACUGUGUAGCUAGAGUACAGGAGAGGGAAACGGAAUUCCCGGUGUAGAGGUGAAAUUCGUAGAUAUCGGGAGGAACACCAGUGGCGAAGGCGGUUUCCUGGCCUGAUACUGACGCUGAGGCGCGAAAGCGUGGGGAGCAAACA